AACGAACGCUGGCGGCAUGCCUAACACAUGCAAGUCGAACGAGACCUUCGGGUCUAGUGGCGCACGGGUACGUAACGCGUGGGAACCUGCCCUUAGGUUCGGAAUAACUCCCCGUAAGGGGUGCUAAUACCGGAUAAUGUCUUCGGACCAAGGAUUUAUCGCCUUUGGAUGGGCCCGCGUUGGAUUAGGUAGUUGGUAGGGUAAAAGCCUACCAAGGCGACGAUCCAUAGCUGGUCGGAGAGGAUGAUCAGGCACACUGGGACUGAGACACGGCCCAGACUCCUACGGGAGGCAGCAGUGGGGAAUAUUGGACAAUGGGCGAAAGCCUGAUCCAGCAAUGCCGCGUGAGUGAUGAAGGCCUUAGGGUUGUAAAGCUCUUUUACCCGGGAUGAUAAUGACAGUACCGGGUGAAUAAGCUCCGGCUAACUCCGUG
rnacentral:rRNA from 1 species